rnacentral:lncRNA from 1 species
GGAAAGACGAGCCUUCCUAGUUGGCCUCCAUGACAACACUUCCAAGAGCCUCCGAGAAAGCAGCCUGUCCCAGCCAGGGCGGUGCUGGGUGUUGGAAGUCCUCGGGCUGCGUGUGCAGGAGGAAGCUCACGGGUGUCUGCUUUCUGCCGGAGGAAGCCGGGCAGUUUGUUCUGGAAGGAGCUUCUCUAGCUACGUGAUCAGCACUUCUGUCUCCACAUCUCAGCUCUUAGUGACCCUUGGCUCUGCUGGGUUCAGCCCGCGUCCACUCUUCCCUCUCGCCGAAGAGAACGGAGCACCUGUUCUGUGCAGAAUUGUGCUUUGCCCCCGAAGCUGCAAAGUCGUUCAGGACCAGAGUCCAGGGAGCCUUGGGUCUGCGCAGGAUGCUGACUGGCGGUUUGAUGCGCAGGCAGGAUCACAAGCCUGGGCCGAAGACUGGGUCGCCCCCUCCCCCAUCACCACGCCUUCAUCCUCUGGCUCCUAGACCUAUUUCUGCGGUCAAGGUGAGAAGCACCCCUCCCCGUGCGGCUCCCUCCCUGCCCCAAAACCUGGGAACCAGCGGCAGGAGGACUCCAGGCCCCAGGCGAGGGAGAUUAGCGGCUUUGCCCCUACCAGUCUCCACAGGACCGCCCCGAGGCCACAGGAGCUCAAGAAUACACUGCAUUUUUCUCAUUUUAAUGAAGGUACAAAGGGUACUUGGGAAGGAAGCGCGCCAAGAAAUCAUGCCCUUUCAGCAGAAGCAACGAAGAUGCAGGAGUUCCUGUUGAGGUUCAGCCGUAACAAACCCAACUAGUAUUCAUGAGGUUGCGGGUUUGAUCCCUGGCCUCGCUCAGUGGGUUAAGGACCCGGCGUUGCUGUGGUGUAGGUUGCAGACCCAUCUCGGAUCCCGCGUUGCUGUGGCUGUGAUGGAGGCCGGCGGCUAAAGCUCUGAUUGGCCCCCUCGCCUGGGAACCUCCAUAUGUCACAGGUGCAGCUCUACAAAGAUAAAAAAGUAAAAGAAGAGGUAGGAAAGAUGCAGAAGGAAGAAAACCAUCUAUGGGGGCUGCAGGGCGAGGAUGGGUGAGGGGGGAAGAGCUGGACUAAAGGGCAAAGGGGUGGGGGGUUCAAGCGCUUGCCACGGCUUCUGCUUCAUCGCAGGUUUCCAGAAAGCCCGAGUCUUACUGGAAACCCCAAGAAGAACAAUAGUCCCCUUGAUCCGCCUCCUGUGGGGAUCCUGGGAAUAUGCUCAGGUGGCGGCAGAGGGACACGGCAUUCCUGCUUCUGGCCCCCGUCUGAGGGCUGCCUGGCAUUCCUGGGUGAGUCACAGGGAGACAAGCCAGCAUCUUUUUUUCCCCAGACAAACGGAAAGCGUCCCCCAAGUCUAAAAAUCGAAGGUAAGAGGAAAUUAGCCCUGGAAAAAACACCCAAGUUAGUCACUUAGUGAAUUUCUCUGAGUUUUAAUAACCUCAGCAUCGUCACCCCUAAAAAGGCCCUUCCAACAGCGAAUUCCUUGGGGGUUGCAAAAGAGGUUGUGACAGAUUCCCUUCUCUGAGCUCCUCAAAGUCUCCUCCACCCCUCCCAGUCUGCCCCCCACCCCACCCCGGGGACAGAAUAAAGGGGGCUCCUGCUGCUUCUCCA